rnacentral:lncRNA from 1 species
CCUGCAUCAAUGUUAGUAGAUUUCUUUUCUUGCAAACACAGAGGAGGGGGAAGGAAGAGUCGUGACAAAUAAGGAGAGGGUAGAGCUGAUUUCGUAUUGUUUUUGCUUACAUGUGGGUCCAUAUAUAUUACUACAUGCCUAUCUGUACAUCUAAGAAAGUUAAAAAAAACCAUGUAACAACUCCAGACCAAACAGUUUAGCAUGGAGAGAAAUACGUGUAGAUUGCACGUCAAAAAAGAAC